GAAGUUCUAGAUACUUUUUCGUACUUUGUAUCUGGCGUACUUCACCUAAUUUCCUCCAUAGUCUUAGGUUUCGGUGGCAUUUAUCACGCGAUUCUGGGACCCGAGACUCUUGAGGAAUCUUUUCCAUUCUUUGGUUAUGUCUGGAAAGAUAGAAACAAAAUGACUACAACUUAGGGUAUUCACUUAAUUUUGUUAGGUCUAGGUGCUUUUCUUCUAGUACUCAAGGCUCUUAAUUUUGGCGGUGUAUAUGAUACCUGGGCCCCUGGGGGGAGAUGUAAGAAAAAUUACCAAUUUCACCCUUAG
rnacentral:rRNA from 1 species